AUAUACUAAUUAGGACUCGCAUAUGAAGGCGACAUUUCAAAACUUUAUUAAGAAGCAAUCUUUGCCUCAUUCUUGUCACUUUGCGGUAGGUAGGUAGGUUCUAGUUUGGGCUCGCUUUCGUAAAAAGAAAACAGUGUGUGACCGACUUUGGCACCGAACGUUGACCUUCGAGCGCAGCAGCCCGGUGCUCUAACCUUUAGGCCACGAGCGCACGCGUACGUCUCUCGUUCCGAAACCAGUCAGCGCUUUGAUUGCUCGGCGCGCGCGCCCCAUGUAACUUCCUCGUCUUCUUGCGACAGCUCGCGCUUUGAGGCGCCAUGUUAGACUGUACUAUGUCCGGGACCAGCCCGCUUUCGUAGCCGUUUACGCUACGUAGAAACUGCGACGUUGAACCAUCUUCAUGAUCGCCCACGAGUGACUUGCUCGCCGGCGUACAAAUGCCAUCGUCGUUUUAACAUACAACAUAUGGCAUAGCCAUAGGUGCGAUCCAAAAUGCGCACGUUUUAGGGAGCAAAAGAAUGUGAAAUUCACUUGCAAACACGGUGACUGCGUGCAUGGGGAGUUCCCCAAAAGUAGACACGGCGGCAGCGCGGAUGGUGGCGAUAAGGCAGGCGCCGACAAGCGACGACGCUACCUUUGAGCAUCGGACGCGCUGUGCGAGCCGUAGGAUGCAAGCGCGCACAGGCUGUAAACAUACACUUCAGAGGUCUUAGAAUUUCCUGUGCCACACCCUGUGUCUCGAAAGCAUAAUACAUUUUUUUAUCCAACGGCCGUGGUACUAGAUAUCAAACAACGAACGCGCUUUGAGAGCACAGCGCGUUGAAAGAGUUUCGGAUUCAGCAACAGCCGCAACAUUACGCAGCUAAUCGCUGUCUCAGCGGCUGCUCCCGACACUCGCCUUGCAGAAGCAUGCGAUAAAAUUCUUGCCAUGGAAGCCUCCCAAGCCUGCAGCUCUCCUAUGUUCAGUGAAACAAACGAAGGCCAAAGAGAAAUGAAAGAAAUCAAACAACAGUUACGCGCCCACGUUAUACCCUACUUUUUACCGCGUCAUCUGCAAAGAUGCUGCAAACUACUUAAACAAGUUGUUGUUCAUAAAAAUAAAGAUAUUAGUAAUAACUUUUACUCAUAGGUGACGCAAUAAACGCCAAACCAGUGUUUGAGCAUGAGUGUUUAAGUGUGUGCGUGCGUGCGUGACUUUAUUGUGAGCAGUCUUUUGCAACGGUAUCCAGUGUGCCGUUAGUUUCGUAGUCGCAAUUUUGUUAAUCGUAUUAUUUAUUUUUACGCUACAAAUUAAGUUUUCCUUCAAAAUUUAUUAUGCUUUCUAUGAACAAAAAUUAUCAAUCAUUAGUUAUGGAUUUUAGUGGUUAUUUUUAGUAGGAACGAUUUUAUUAACUUAAUACGAUACUGAGGCUGUGACCGCUUUUCGACUCUGUCACUCGUCUGAACUUGUGCGGUGGUUCGUGCCGCGCGCGCUUUGUUGGAAGCAUUUUUCUUUUGUUUUUGGACAUCAUGACGCAAGUUUUAGUGAAAUUGCUCUAUGAUGAUAAGUGGGAUGUUUAUCCGUUGAAGACGUUUGCUGACGCAGCUACUGGUCUUCGGGUGAUGUUCGAGCCUGGCAGUUUUGAUGAGUUGCGCGGCAGAAUUCAUGAUGGAAGGAAGGCGAACAAAGCCGCAGCCUGACUUCUGCACACAGGUUACACAUGCACCAAAUGCCCAGGUGCUAACGUGUCGUUCGUCAAGAACAGCUUGGCGUCGUUUCUCGCAAGAGACAUCCAUUGAUCUGCGGCUGAUUCACCAGGAAGCUCGCAUCUCUGUUGCCACUCUGCGUCAAGUGGGAUUUUUAACUAUUUUUUAUUCUGCCCUGUGGUGUACGCUGUGACGCUGUGAAGACUUACUUUCAUGGACGCUGUGAAGGCUUACUUUCGAUGUGUUCUGCCUUUUAGUUGUAAAGAAUUGGCUACCUUGUGAGUGGAGGUAGUUCCUUUUUCUUGUGAGAAUGUUUAUCAGCCUAACCAAGUGGUACAUGCGUACUUGAAACAGCAGCACAGACGAGGAUAAUGAAAUAAGUAGGAACACAUACAAGCGCCGACUCAACUAGAAGUUUAUUCUUGAAGACAGGUUGUAAACACAUUGGAACUUGACAAAGAUAAGAAACCAUGUAUGCGUGGCCUUUGUGAUUAAACAAAAUUGUGUUUUCUGCUGUAAGGGGUAGAACGAACAAUUGUUUCAUCACAAAGACCAGAACACAAGAGAAAUUAUGGAAGCCUUAUUUAUUGAUUGCAAAGAAGACAAAUGCAUAAGCUAUCUGUUGCUCUUAAUGGGAAAGAGUUGGGAUUUUUAAAAGAGCUCUCCUUGUUUGGUGGUAUCACUUAUAGGACAUCUUUCACUGUUUUUUUUACCUGCAUAUUUAUACUACAAAACACGUCUUUCGUUCCUUUUUUUUGUUGCACCGGGCUGUCUGCCACGCAUGCAUGGCUAUUUCUUUGUCAAGUUGGCCAGUGUGCUUAAUAUCUUUGUCGUCACGAACAAACUUCUAGUUGAGUCAGCAUUAUUGUGUGUUCCUACCUUAUUUCACCGUUCUCAUCUUUGUUUGAGCUGUUUGUAAAGUAUGUACACACACCAAAUUACCAAAGUAUCCGUAAAAUUGAGAUACAUGAAGUUAUUUGCACUAUUCAUUUCUGCAAGAAUGGUAUAGCUUCUCAUCUCGUUUGUUCUUAACGUUGUUGUACAGUUUUUGUAAUAUAUAGCUUGGAAAGACGUUUUCUGUCAGAUUAAAUAUGCAUGUAUGUCACUUUCGAUAUUUUUUUUCAACAUGGGUAGUGCAGCUCCUUCCGUCUUUCAGUUACUGCUUUGUCACAACUUUUAUAUAUUUUAUGCAGCGAAAUGCUGGUGGAAUUAUAUAUAUUUAUGUGCGCAAGUGUGGUAAAUGGUGUUUUGUAUGUGCAUUUAUUUGCGUUUUUUACUAGCUCUCCAAUCUGGCUGUACAGUUAUUGAAACCUUUUCUCAUGCUUUAUAAUGAGUCGUUCUAGGCUCUUUGAUGAUGCAGGUGACCAUUUAUUUCACUGUUGGGAAUUGCGUUAGCUGUGUGUCACUCCAGUUGUCUGUGUAUUUUAUGUCACUUCAUUAUAUCAUUGAAACUAUUAGCCUUGCAUUAGCUUUUUAUUGACCGAGGUACCAGUUAGUUGCUGUGUAGGGUGAAAAAGGCCCAAAGAAAUGAUUUCAUUAGCUUUGUUCAAGUCCAGAAAAAAAUUCACUGAUGAGCUCACUAAAUUAGAAAAUGCCACCAGGAAACUCUUCCGCACCCAAAAGUAACACAAGAAAUUAAAUACUGUUCACACUCGAGAGGGAAACAGCGCGAAAAAACUCGACAAGAAGGGAGACACACACCAGCGCUUCUUGUCCCUUCUUGUCUUGUGUUUUUUUGCGCUGUUUCCCUCUCGAGUAUGCACCGACUAGCCCAAGCCUCUACUGUCUUGAAAUACUGUGCAGUUCUUGACUUAUGCCAGGGAGGUAAGCUGCUUUUACAGCACAAAUGUUUUAGAAGUUUACGUCUGAAAAACACGAUUCAGGUGUUUUGUAUAUAUAUAUACAUGAAGUCAUUUGUUUCCAGUUUACUUGUUAUUUUGCCUACUCACAGGCAGCCGUAAACCCUUCUGUGAGUGUUUACUGGGUGUGUGAAGCAUUUUACUGUAAGGUAUCCAGUGGUCUUCAUUUUUGUAUUUAUGCAUGCAAGCCAAGAGUUCAUGUGUUCAAAGUUAGUUACAAGGGUAUGCUUAAGGUCUGCCUUUGAGUCACUUGACUGUUGUUUUUACAAAAUAUAUUUUUUUUCUGCUGUAAUUGUGAAAUAUAAUUCUUUCUGCUGUAAUAAACUUCAAGUUGAGUGAGCA